rnacentral:ncRNA from 1 species
AUAAAGACUAUGAAAAAGGAAAGUAACAUAAAGGAAUGUUAACAGAGAGAAAAGAAGGCUGAGAACUUUUCAUCAGAAAUUUAUGUGAAGUGCCCUUUGGAGUUGAAAUCAGAAUAUAAGAGUAUGAUUCUCCGGAUUCACCCGUUAUAGUGAUAUAGCAUAAUAAUGUGCUGAAACCAAAGAGGAAUUAUUAAUUUAAUUCAAUUAGAGUGGAACCGCGGAUUUACUUCGUCUCUAUA